rnacentral:ncRNA from 1 species
GUAAAUGCAUUGAAAAGAAGAGUAGUAAAUGAAAGUGUCAAAAAGAGAGCCAGAGUAGGUGAAAGCUGGUGACAUGGAAAUUUAUGAACAUGGUCUUGGAGCGGGCUAUCUGAAUAUUUUAGGAUAGCACGGAAGCAGCCGUUAUACUGCAAGGUGAUAAAAUUGAUUAUGCAAUCAAGGAGUCACUUUUUGAGGUUUUUUCUGUGAGGGAAAAACAAAUUAGAGUGGUAACGCGUAAACUACGCCUCUAAG